GAUGAACGCUGGCGGCGUGCCUAAUACAUGCAAGUCGAGCGAACGGACGAGAAGCUUGCUUCUCUGAUGUUAGCGGCGGACGGGUGAGUAACACGUGGAUAACCUACCUAUAAGACUGGGAUAACUUCGGGAAACCGGAGCUAAUACCGGAUAAUAUUUUGAACCGCAUGGUUCAAAAGUGAAAGACGGUCUUGCUGUCACUUAUAGAUGGAUCCGCGCUGCAUUAGCUAGUUGGUAAGGUAACGGCUUACCAAGGCAACGAUGCAUAGCCGACCUGAGAGGGUGAUAGGCCACACUGGAAGUGAGACACGGUCCAGACGCCUACGGGAGGCAGCAGUAGGGAAUCUUCCGCAAUGGUCGAAAGCCUGACGGAGCAACGCCGCGUGAGUGAUGAAGGUCUUCGGAUCGUAAAACUCUGUUAUUAGGGAAGAACAGAUGUGUAAGUAACUGUGCACAUCUUGACGGUACCUAAUCAGAAAGCCACGGCUAACUACGUG
rnacentral:rRNA from 1 species